rnacentral:lncRNA from 1 species
GUAAUAAGACGAAUUGACCCCUGGUACGUAUACUCAAUGCGUUGAUGUAUGAAAUAGUAUAAUUAGGCAAGUGAAAGGAAAAUCUAAAUGAAUAUAACAACGACAUGGUAAAGGAGUUUUAAAAAUGUAACACGUGCCGAAACUUAAUUCUUCGGGCAUAAUGUGGCGAUUACGCGAAGACACGAAACUAGUACGUGGAUUGUGUACCUGGCCAGUACACAAGAAACGUAUGACGUUCGUGAGACCGCGAUAAUUGUUACAUGUAUGUCCGUUAGAAUUGGGUAGCAGGUGGGCGUACGGGUGAAAUGAGUAGUAAGACUCUCAGGAGAUUGAGAGUACUACGUAAGAGUCCAAAAUGCAAGUGAUAAGAAUAAAAUGUUGAAUCCGUAAGAAGUACGGACCAACAAUGUAUGAAUGCAAUGC